rnacentral:tRNA from 1 species
AAAGACAUAGUAUAAGCAAAUACAUUUCACUUACACUGAAAAUAUACUUAUUUAACAAGUUGUUUUUA